ensembl:misc_RNA Metazoa_SRP Metazoan signal recognition particle RNA
GCUGGGCACGGUGGCACGUGUCUGUAGUCCCAGCUAUUCGGGAGGCUGGAGGAUCUCUUGAGUCCAGGAUUUCUGGGCUGUAGUGAGCUAUGCCGAUCAUGUGUCCGAACUAAGUUUGGCAUCAAUAUGGUGACCUCCCGGGAGUGGGGGACCACCAGAUUGCCUAAGGAGGGGUGAACCGGCCCAGGUCGGAAACGAGCAGGGCCCUAGCUUGAUUAAAGGGUCAGUAUAAAAACACAAAAAGUCCCAUCAGUUUAAAACAAUAAAAAACCCCAAAAGU